AGUGAACGCUGGCGGUAGGCCUAACACAUGCAAGUCGAACGGCAGCACAGUAAGAGCUUGCUCUUACGGGUGGCGAGUGGCGGACGGGUGAGGAAUACAUCGGAAUCUACUUUUUCGUGGGGGAUAACGUAGGGAAACUUACGCUAAUACCGCAUACGACCUACGGGUGAAAGCAGGGGAUCUUCGGACCUUGCGCGAUUGAAUGAGCCGAUGUCGGAUUAGCUAGUUGGCGGGGUAAAGGCCCACCAAGGCGACGAUCCGUAGCUGGUCGGAGAGGAUGAUAGCCCACACUGGAGGGUAGACGGCGACAAGGCCCCUGGGGGGGGGACCAGAGGGGAAGUUUGGACAGGGGGCGCGAGCUUUCCCCACCCAUCGCGGGGGGGAAAAAGCGGCCCUGGGUUUGUAAAGCCUUUUUGUGGGGAAAAAAAAGCAGCAGGUUAAUACCCCGCUGUUCUGACGGUACCCAAUAAAGAAGCACCGGCUAACUUCGUG
rnacentral:rRNA from 1 species